AGCGAACGCUGGCGGCAGGCCUAACACAUGCAAGUCGAACGAACUCUUCGGAGUUAGUGGCGGACGGGUGAGUAACACGUGGGAACGUGCCUUUAGGUUCGGAAUAACUCAGGGAAACUUGUGCUAAUACCGAAUGUGCCCUUCGGGGGAAAGAUUUAUCGCCUUUAGAGCGGCCCGCGUCUGAUUAGCUAGUUGGUGAGGUAAAGGCUCACCAAGGCGACGAUCAGUAGCUGGUCUGAGAGGAUGAUCAGCCACAUUGGGACUGAGACACGGCCCAAACGCCUACGGGAGGCAGCAGUGGGGAAUCUUGCGCAAUGGGCGAAAGCCUGACGCAGCCAUGCCGCGUGAUUGAUGAAGGUCUUAGGAUUGUAAAAUUCUUUCACCGGGGACGAUAAUGACGGUACCCGGAGAAGAAGCCCCGGCUAACUUCGUGCCAGCAGCCGCAGUAA
rnacentral:rRNA from 1 species